UUGUUUGAUUUUGAUUCCAAUUCAUUAGAAUCGAUUGCUGAUUGCAUUUAAUGUUUCCGGUUGAUGAAAACAAAACAACAAAAAAAAAAAAUCCGAUUCCUAGUUUGAUUUCCAAACGACAGAUGGCGAUAAGCAUUGUAAAUUAAAUUCGAACCAUCAAUAUUGUUUGGAUUUGGAUGUUCAAAUAUCCAUCACCAAUCAGUUUGUGUGACUCGACAAAAAUUUUUUUUUAUUUAUUAACUCAGGUAUUUUUAAUAAUCACCAAAAUAAGCAAUAAUAAUGAUGAAACUUUUUUUUUUUGGAAAUUUUUUUCUAUAUAGAAAAAAAUCUUUAAUUCUUGUCAAUCAUUUAUGGUGAUCAUAUCACGCGAUCCACCACAUUGUCCAUCAUCGUCAACAUCAUUUCAAAGAAAUAUGUGAUCAAGAAAUUUUGUUUCGCAAUCGAAUAUGAAUUUUUUGUUUUCUUCUCGAACAGACAAUAGGUAGAUAAGAACGACAGAAAAAAAAACUUCCAUAAAGAAACAAAGACAAGAUAAGCCCUUUAUGGUUUUCUCUUUUUUUUUUUUUUUUUUUUUUUUUUGGCAAAUAUUUUCGACGACCACGACCACGACGACGACAACAAUUCAUUCAUCCGAAAGAUAGCCCGAUUUAUUGUAUACAAAUAUGGCCAUAUUAUUCAUAGAAUCAAGCAUUAUGAUGAUGAUGAUGAUCGACAACAGGAAAAAAACGGAUGACGAUGAUGAUGAAACAAAUGUCCGAACACACACACACACACACAAAAGGAUUUCUACUCUUUCUUUUCUGUUGUUUGUUUAUUUUCAAACAAAGAAAGAAGAACAUUUCGAAUCGAACACACACACACACACACAUUCAAAUACAUUCGAAAAACUGGCUAUGACUUGACUUGACUUGAAACCGAAAAUAUGAAAAUGAUUGAAAAACCAUUAUUAUUAUUAUAUAAACCGUUUGUCGAUUGUGACAAGAUAUAUAAAUAUGAAGAAAAACAAAAUUGAGGCCAUAAUUUGAGUUUCGACGAUAUUUAUUCACCAAUAUAUACCACCAAUCUUCAAUCUUCAGUGCUUCAAAUUGUAUUGUGU